AGCUAUAGAAAGGUUGGUACCACUGAUUAUUAUUCAUUUAUUCACACAGAUCCAACAUUUAACCUAGACGCGAAGUAAGAAAUUAUGGCUACGUACUGUUUCACAGGAUGAUUUCGUCAGUGAAAAUGAAUGAUUGUUUAACAUUCAAGUGAAUUAUAAUCAUUUUAAAUACUUUAUUUAUCAUGGAGUUGGGUUUACCUAACACGUUAUUACCAGGUGAUCCACGAUUAGUAGAUCACAUUGUAGGAGAAGUUAAAUCUCAAGGAAUUUUUGAUCAAUUUCGUAAAGAAUGUAUUGCCGAUGUUGAUACCAAGCCAGCAUAUCAAAAUUUACGUACAAGAGUAGAAGGAUCUGUAAAUUCUUUCCUUAGCAAACAAUCAUGGAAACCAGAUUUAAACAAAAAUCAGUUGAGAGAAACAUUAAGGAAGCACAUACAUGAAGCUCCUUAUUUAGAUGCCGGUGUAGAACGCAUAGUAGAUCAAGUAGUAAAUCCAAAAGUAUAUUCUGUCUUCAUGCAUCAGAUUGAAGAUGUAGUAUACAAAUUUUUAGGAAUAGAAAGACCUAAGGCAAAAGAAAAAAAUGGUUUGUGUGGCCUUAAAGAUUUAUUACCCAAAGAUUUAGAUCCUGUUUCACCAGAGUCUGAUAAAAAUAGUUUAAAAGAUGUAUCUUUGGAGUCUAUGGAUGCCAUGGAAGAUUUAGAAAUAAAAAAAGAUAUAAAAUUUAAUGAACAAAAGUCACUAGAAGAAGAAAUCUCCAAUGAAAAAGGUAAAGAUAGUAUAUCUGAGAAUGGACAGGUUUCUUCAGAAGAAAAAACAUUAGAUGAAAGUGAUAAAAUUUUUAAUAAGACUGGUAGUAUUUUAAAUUUAAAUACAUCUGGAAAAUCAGAUGAUAAAACAGAGGAGGAUGAAGAAGACAGUCCCACUUUUGAACCAAUUGAUAUUAUGAAUCUAAAUGAAUCUAAUAAUUCCAAUGAUUCACAUUUAUCAGGUAUAUCAGAAUUAACUAGCCAUAGAUCUAGAAGUCCUGAUUUUUGUAACGAAUUAUCAAGAGACAACUUUGAUUAUAGUAAUCAAGAUUCACAACUAAGCAAAGUUUCUUCUGAUUCUCGAUUAUCUAUUGUAACUGACUUUGGAUCUUCUAAUCAUGCAUCAACUCCGAUACAUGAUCCAUUGAAAGAUGAAGUCAAUAAAGAUAGAUAUGAUGUUAAAAAUAUUAAAGACAAUUUUAAAGCUAUCGGAGAAUAUGAAUCCAGUAAAAAUAAAAGUAAUAAAAAUAUUUUUGAAUUAAAUAAGAAUAAGGAUGUACAAGAUGUUAAAGAUUCUAAAACUAUUAAAAACAAUUUAUCCUCUAAAGAAAAUUCUCGUGAUGCUACGGAUAGCAGUAUAAAAGAUAGAUAUGAAUAUAAAAAUAAUAAAGAUAAAAGCAGAGACCAUGAAUCUAAAUCAAAAUCAAAAGAUAAAAAUCAUGUAAAAGAUGGGAAGCAUCAUAGAGAUAGAAGUAGUGACAAAAAAAAAGAAAGGAGUCAUAGCAGUUCAAAGUAUGACAAGUAUGAUAAAAAUAAACCUAAAGAUAAAAACGAUCAACCAAAAGAAACUAUAGAUAAAAUUAAAGAUACAGAAAAGGAUAACUACAAUAAAACGAAGGAAGAUAAAAUAAGAGAAACAGACAAGAAAGAUAAUAUUAGUAAAGAAGGAAAAGAUCUAAAAGAUCUUUACAAAGAAAAGAUUAGGGAGCUUAGAGAAAAGAAAGAAUUAACAGAAAAAGAAAAAUUAAACAAAGACAACAAAGAAUCAAAAUCAAAUAAAGAAAAUAAAGACAGAAAGGAUUCUCCAAAAGAUAAAAAGUUGUAUAAGAAAGAUCAUAAAACUUCCUCCAAAAAUUCUUCAUCAAGUUCUCAUGAAGUGAAAACUAUUAAAGCAUCUGAAAAAGUUAUUGAUGGGAAAGAAAAAAGAAAUGAAUCAAAGGACAGAGAUAAGAGUAAACGAGAUGAGAGACGUACUUCUAAAGAUCAUAUGAAGUCUAAAAAUCAUAUCAGUAUGAAAUCAGAGCCACCAGAAAAAUUAGAUAAACAGGAUGCAAAGAAAUUUAUAAAAAGUGAAAAAGAAGAAAAGAUUGAUAAACCUGAAGUAAGGAAAGAUGUUAAGUCAAAUAAUGAAAAGGUAAAUGGUAAAAAGGAUGCUAAAAAUCAUAUGCAAAGUAAAAGUUCAACACGAAAUGAGAAAUUAGAUAGCAAGAAAGAUAAUAAAAGUGAUUCCCAACAUAAAGACAAAAGGCGAAGAGAAGAGAAAAAGUCCAAGUCAAAAGAUGACCAUUCUAGUUUAAGAAGGAAUUCUAAUGAUCGACGUUCUACAGAUAGAGAUGGUUCAAAUGGGUCAAGCAGCAAAAGUUCACAGUCUAGUAAUUCUGGAUCUAACAUUGCAAAUAAGUCAAACACAUCAACUUUUUCUAAAGAAACAAAUCAUAUGAGUAAUUCAGGCAGUGAAACAUCAGACAAUGUUGAAGAAUCACAUCCAAGUGAUCUAAAGUUAUCAUUUGAACAACAAAGUUAUAAAUUGGAUAAAGCAACAGAAUUACAUACAGAAUACAAAACUGACAACACUAAUAAUCAUGAAAUACACAUUAAACAAGAAUUAGAAUUUAAUGACAUUAACCUGCCUCUAAAAAAACGAGCAUUGCUAGGAGAAGACUAUAGCAUUUCAGGAGAAAUGAAAGUAAAGAAACCAAAAUUUGCAAAAAAUAUACAUGAAGCUAAAAAGUUAAUGAAAAUUAGAAAACAGAUAGAGAAACAGAAACUUAAAGAAAAUAAAAAAUUAGAGAAGAAACUUAGUGAAAGAAUAGAACAACCAAUUCAAACAAAUACCAUAAAUAAUGAUAAUGUUGAAAGUAUGCCAGAUGAAGAACGUGUUCAAAUAAUAGAAAUACCAGAUGAAGAGUAUGAAGAGCCGUAUCCUGAGAAAUAUACUAAUUUAACAUUAGAAGAAAGAUCAAUAAUGAUGUUACAAACUGAAGCUGGUGCAAAAGAUUUGUUGGAGACACAUUCUAAUCUAAAAUUGAAAUUGUCAGACAUGGAACUGUGUAUAAAAAAAUCAUUAAGUGAAACACUUCCCAAUAAAAUAGAAAAGGAAUCUAUCCAACCACUGAGUUCAAAUAUUCAAAAAACAUUGUCUGAUAAGAAAGGAGUUGAAAAUUCACAAAAUAAAGAAUCAUUGUCUUCUAGCAUAGAAGAAGCAGACAACAAUAUGAUAAAGGCAGAAGAAAUAGAUAAUUCUGUAGACAUAUAUUCUAAGAAGGAAACGCAACAAGAAACCAGUGUAUCUGAAAUAAAAAUACAUGUAGUACCUCAAGAACCAAGCCAUUUUAGUAUUGAUACUAAUAAAAAAGAUGUAAGCAAGAAAAAAGAGCAAUUACAGUUAAGUAAUAUAAAUACACAUAACACGACUUGUUCAAACAAUAAUAAAAGUAUAGAGAUACCUACAACAUCAAAAUUUAGAGAUGAAGAUGUUUCUCAGGAUGCUCAAAAUAGUAGUCUUUCUAAUGUAAAUAGCUGUACAAUUAAUAGAGAUUGCAUUAUAAAAUCUAAAGAGCAACCAGAGGCAAUAGAAUCAACAUCAAUGGAAACUGAAGAUAACGAAGAUUGUCGUUACUUCAAAGCAGAUAAUGAAAAAUCAGAAAAAUUUUCUAGUUUCUUAGAAUCAUUGGAAUUGAUAGAAAACAGUUCUUUAGAAGACAUAAUAGAGAGUUUAGGAGGUCAAGUUGUAUCUUCAGUGCCAAAAGCUAUGGCACCACCUUUACCAAAACGCAAACAUUCGUCUAGCCCAUUAACAGAUAUAUUAUUAAAUAAUUCAAAUAAUAAUAACGAUAGCCAUAAAAGAGGACUGAGUCUACCUAAUGAAGAAGCAUUAAGUAAUAUAAAAAAGAGAAAACUGGUACCUAAGAAGCAAAGGCUUCAAUCAAACAUAUGUGCUCCACAAGGACUUUUAAAUGGGGAAAAUUUUGUUAUGCCUUUAAGUCCAGAAAGUGAUGUAUCUGCAACAAGUGAAAAAAUACCCUCUUCAAAUCUGAUUAAAGAAGACAAAGGGUCUUAAGGUCUCUAUUUAUGAAAAAAGCAAGUUACCUAGAAGCUAUUGAGAUAUCAAAUACCAACAAAUUAUAUAUAACAUACAAUGUAAAAAGUUAAAUCUACACAUUUUUUCCGGCAUAGAAGCAGUCAACGUUAUUCAAGUGAUGACUUAUACAAACCACGUCCAUUAUUUUCAAGUUCUUCUCGUAGAAGUAGGAGAUCUAAUCAGGUAUAGCUAGUAGUUCAUAGUCUCAGAUGUUGAAUUGUUUUACUUUAUAUAAACAGAAAUCCUAGUUGUUGAUUCUAGUAACACACCCUAUAUUAUAUUUGAAUCAAAUAUUUUUAAACUUUAAUUAAUGUAAGAUACUGAUGUGACCAAGGAAAAAUUUGUGAACUAUUAUACUUAUAACAUAUUUAAAAUUUAUUCUAAAAAUUUAGUCAUAUCUUUUAUGCAAAACAUUUAAGUUAAUGUAUUUAAUGUUUCUUUAAGUAUGUGUUAAAUUAGAGAAAUUUGAAAGUUUUCUAUAGAUUGGCAUUCUUUAAAUAUAUUGUAAAUUUGAAAAGAAAAAUCUGCAUUACAUCUAAAUAGAAAGAAUACUAAAUAUAUUUUAAGGAAUUCUUACAUAAUGUUAUAAUUUGAAUAAGAAUUACUUAUGGUAAAAAUUAUUAAAUCUAACACAGUAUUAACAAAGAAAAAUAUGCACUUCAAAAUAUUUUUGAAAUAAAAGUAAAGAUCUUUUAAGAACAUUUAUUUAAUAAAUAAUCAAGUAUACAAUACUUUGAUAAAUUCAGAAAACGCAAACAAUGUGAAAUACGUAUAUGAAUGAAUUGAAAAUUGUUGCAAAAAUUUAUUUUUUCAAGAAUAUAUAUAAAUUUUUGUGAAUAUGUAUGUUUAAGUUACAUUUCAAAUUAUAUUAAGUACUACAUCUGAAUAAUUCUUGUUUAUAAAAAAAAGAUAGUUAAUAUUUUCUCAUAUUACUUAUAUGAAAAUUAUUGUAUAAAAUUCAACUUCUUAUAAAAAAUACACAAAUGCAUAAUUAAUAGUGUGCAAUUUUCGUUGAUAUACAAUACAUUAAAAAUAUACAUGAUAUAUUUAUAGGACUACAAGUUAGGUAAUUAUUGUAUACAUAUUAUUUAAAACAAACACAUUACUCAUAAUACAAGUUUUGUGUAUGCUUAUAAGAAAUUUUAUAGUGUAAUUUUCUUUUAAGUUACUAUUCGCUAAAGUGUACAUGUUGAUAAAGAAUGUGUAAGAAUAGUGCAAGCCUGAUAAGAUUAAAGGGAAAAAAUUGUUAAUACUUCUGAACAGUUAUUUUAGAGAAUAAUGUAUGAUUCAAAGUAUAACAAUAUUGUUUGCUUCUUGACAUAUUCUAUUGGUAAAUAUAUUGCACUUUAAUUUAGCGAAAGCAUCAGUAAUUAAAACCAAUUUUUCUGUGAUGUUAAAAGAAGAUAAGCUAUAGUUUCUAUAAACGUUUCUUCUUUUUUCUUUCUUUUUUAAGUAUCAAACAACAGCAACGAGAAAAUUGUAAUGCAGGGGAACGACUAAUUGCACACUAUCUCAUUUCCAACUCAAUACUUAAAGAUUGUAAUAUUAAAUUUUUACAAAGAAUGUUAUAUUUAUUAAUAAGCAUAUUCUUUAUUCUGUACAUGCAUAAGUUUGUAUAAAUAUGUAUAUAAAAUAGAAGUAGAUUACACUUUAUUACUGUGAAAAUAAUGUAGAAUAUUUUUUCCAACUUUUUAAAAUAUUUAUUGCUAUAUGUAAUAUAGUAACUAACAAUUUAUAAAACCCAUUAUUACUAUAAUUGCUUUAAAAUAAAGUGACUUUUUGUAUACAUGUUAAACAAUCUAUAAAUAUUUAAAUCCUACCUUUAAUUUUAUAUAUUUAAAUAAACAGUUCUACUACAUUGUAUGAUAUAUUUAAACUGGAAUUUUCUUAAUUAGGAGUAAUGCUGUAAUUUCCUUAAUUAAGUAUGUAAAAAGCGAUUUCAUUUUAAACAUUGUAGAUGAUAAGGUCAAAAUAAAAUUGUGUAUAAUUGCGUGGUUA